rnacentral:misc_RNA from 1 species
UCAAAACAGCGGCCUUCGGGCCUCGCUGCACCCUUGUCUUUUGCGCACCGUAUUGUUUCCUCGGCGGGCUUGCCUGCCGGUUGGACAUCAUGAAACCUUUUUGUAGUUGCAAUCAGCGUCAGAAAAACAAUAAUUAUUA